rnacentral:lncRNA from 1 species
UUUAGUAGGUCAAAGUAUAAAUAUGGAAAGUUAAAACAUAAAAAUUUAGAUUUACUUUCCAUGUGUCACCUAACUAAGGAAAGGAGAAAUGAUAAAGCAAAGUGAAAAAGGGAUUUUCAUCUUCUCCAUCACACAAUUGCCGUAGCUCACACCAUAGAAGACCAAAGCUUUGUUUUAUCUUCCUUCCACCAAAGCCAAGC